rnacentral:lncRNA from 1 species
UUCCUGCUGCUGCUUUGCCAGUUCCUUCUCCUCGUCCAAUAGAUUCGGAGACGGUUAAAACAGCAGCACCAUGUCAGUAUUUUCAUGUCUAAUUUUCAAAUGAAGAACAAAGUAACAGCAUCCACCAACUAUCAAUAUUGUAGUUAGGUGCAAACACAGUACUUGGACAUGCACCAAUCUGGCAAGUAUGCAUAUUUUUCAUAUAAUUUAAGGAUUUCCGAUUAAAGGAAUUAACAAACACCUAGUUUAUUGAACAAAUGUAUUAAAAAUAAACCAUAUCCAUUUGCGCACAUAUACUACAGGCUGACAAACCAUACAUCACUCCGGAAUGGAUAUUAUUUUCAUAUAGGCAUGUAAGUUCCCCAAUUGUUCCAUUCUAGGAUUAUAAAUGAAAAACACUAGGUCUCACUCUUUCAUGUUUAGCCCGAUGUUCUUAAGGUGGUAAUGCAAUUUGCAGUGACUCGCCGCCUUCUUAUCACCUAGGCGAUAAACGCAAUGUGGUAAGGCAAUCGAGGCGACAGCCAUACUCACAUAUAUUAGACAACAAAAAUCAAAAUAGCUUACUAAAGCCCAAUCCAAGCAUCCCUUCCUGUGCCCUAGCCUCCCAAUGCCAUCCACAGCAUGUCACAUUUCUCCUUAGGCUUUGGGGACAACUUCCCCUAGCAAGCGCCUUGUCGCUUAAGUGACCACUAGGCGUGUUCAGUCUAACCAUUGAAAUAAAUAGAGCAAACAGUAAAACCAACUUUAAUGGUACACAAAGGAAUGGAUAUUAUUUCCAUAUAGAUUCGUCCUGCGAAUUAGCCUCCAUCUGUGCAAUUGGUUUUUAUAAUUAGUCUAAUACUCCUAAUUAGUAUCUAAACAUUCGAUGUGAUAGGGACUAAACUUUAGUCCGUGGAACCAAACACCCUGACCCGAAGCAGUACUUGAGAUAACAGUAAGAUGAAGCAGUACCUGAUAACAGUAAGAAGAAGCAGAGUAGAGGCAGCAGAGCAAGUCUCAGCUUCUUCUCCAUUGUUGGGUUGUCGACACACAACACAAACGCAAUCCUUGCUAGCAGUAACGACGUUUGUUUUGCUGUGCCCUUGGGAGAGGGUUUUGCUUGGCCUUAAUAGCAUGGCGAGGUCGGAAGAAUACGUGAGCUCGGUCGGUCGGGCAUGGCCAGACCAACACUGAUGGGCCACUUGUAAUUAACCAUUGCCUAUAUAUAGUGCCCAAGGGCAUGAGGGCAAGGGACUCUCACUCCUACUCAUUUCUCAAAACCCUAACGUGAUCCCUCUCCACCGCGGGCUCUCUCCCCUCUCGUGUGUUUCGAACCUCCGCCAUGGAGCCUUCUUCGCGGAGCCUCUGACAUGGAGUCUUCUCCACGGAGCCUUCGCAUGGAACAUUCAUCGUACCUCCGCAUAGAACCUUCUCCGCGGAGCCUCUACAAGGAACCUUCAUCGAGGAACCUUUGCAAGGAUCCUUCACAUGGAACCUUCGUCGGGGGACCUUCGCACGGAACCUUCGUCGGGGGACCUCCACAAGGAACCUUCGUCAAGGGACCUCCGCGCGGAAGCUUUGUCGGGGGACCUCCGUAUGGUGUCUUUGCUGAGGGAACUCCUCCAGCUAGCCUUCACCAAGGAGCAUUCUCCUCUCUACCUUGUUCGGGACCCUUGUCCCAACACUGAUAUUGAGGUAGCCGCACAUAAACCUAGUUUGCCAGGCCUAGAAACACAAUUGUUGAAGGCACAAACUAGUCUUUCUAAUAUCGAACAUGCACGUGAGAGAGACAACAACCAUAUGCCAGUGCCUAAGGGGCUAGUGGAUCAGGCCUCGACGAGGAGUAUGGUGCAAAACUAUAUUGAGUAGAAGGUGCCGAUGCAGACUGAACAUUGUCAUGGGAGAUAUAAGGCGCUAGUUACAAGUGUUAGAUGCAUGAGAAGGUGGGAGGAGCAAAACCGCACAUGAUUGUUGUGUUGUGGCAGUGGUGGUGCUCGAGGAAGAUGGUGAAGGACACAAACAACGUGGCGGUGGCGGUGCUCGAGGAAGAUGGUGAAGGACACAAACAACGUGACCGCGAGUCCCGCCAUGCCACACACACAAAGAUGAUAAGUGUAUGUGUAGGUUGGUGGUUUGGGGUCACGCCGUUCCACGUCAUGGAAGAUGAUGGCCGGCGGAAGAAAACAUGCCUGGCGUGCGGGCAUCUUACGGACGCUUAUCCUCAACCUCGCAACUUGGACUUCGACCUCCCCCUCUGGCUCGUCUUCAACCUCACCUCCACCCAUCCCACCGCCAUCGGCCACGGCACCACCAGUGCCAACCUCUGCCGUCUCCCUCCCUAAUACGCGUCAGAGGAUUCACGGUUCGCCCCACUAGCCCACAGACCUCCUUCUUCUAAGGCCGCAGAUGCUCCUCCCCUAACCUAAAUCGGAGCAUAGGAGACGAGGGGCGUGCGGUGCUGGAGCUGAAGAAGGCAUGGACGAGUGUGGAGUCUGCCCCAUCAUAUCUAACAGCGCGUCGACACUCGUCCAUGCGUCGGUAGCGUCAGAUUAAGUCAUUUUGGACAAGGAAGGAUAUCGCGGAAUUACUACAGUCACACAUAAACUACGGUAUUAUAUCUGGUAUUCCUAAAUAUACUCUAACUCUAACAAGCCCAGUUCCAGUCACAUGUGUUCGAGCUCGACACUUGCUUGGCGUUGCUGGCCGACAAGGUAGCUGCAGCUGCUGUCCGUGCAAGGAGCCGUGACGUACUCACGAGAGCCUGAAAGCACGUCGACUGGUUGCCGCUCCUACACGGAAUGACAAAAUUUCCCAUGAUGCCCAGGUCCCGGUUCUGGGUAAAGGACCGGUCCAUACGCGCCAUGGACCGGCCAGCGGCGAGUCCGGCGAGCCGGGGCAGGCGGAGGGCUUGGUCCGUACUUGGCUCAAGAUGCUGUAGGUACAGUGCCCAUGUCGUGUCUCGUCUCGUCGUGGCUGCGUUUCAGGCCCAACAGAACAGAUAGACUGUCUGAAGCAGCCAGCCUAAACCCACUGCCAUCCGUCGAGGGCAACACAGAGCACCAGAAUGACUGGCACUGGCAGGUAGAUCGCAGUUUUCCUGGUCAGAUCGCAGGACAUCUUGAACGCUUCAAGAGUGGACCGGAGGACCAUGUCUGAAAUUCUGAAUCGAGAGAUGAUCAUCACCAUCCACAUCUAUGAUGCAGAUACGUGUCGGUGCGAAGGCACCAACUUCAUUCAUUGCUGCAUGCCAAAUGCUGUCUCCUCCUAGCCCCCCUAGGCCUUCCCCGCCCUACAACAGUGACCGGACGGAAGGCGACUCUGGCCUGGCGUCGACGCGUCGUCCUCAUGGUCCGGCAUCCAGCUCGGCCGGCCAGAAAGGCUCACAUAAGAUGCAGCAUCGUUGCAUCAUGUUGCAAGUAUGUCAUCCUAGGCAGAGCUGUAACUGAACCCAGCACACAAGAACACCUACUACAGACAGCACCACCCAUGGCACAAUACGUAUUGACAAAGGCCAACAACGAGACCAACUUUUUUUUUCGAGAAUACGCAGGAGAGCUGCGUACCUUUGUAUUAAAAAGAAUGAGUAGAAUUGUUACAACGUGGGUCUACCGGGCUCACGCACACGGUUUUGAAAUGUAGCUUGAGCUUACAUGGCAACUUAUUUACAUCCGUUUAAACACAAAGGUCAGGGUAAGAAACCACUAAGGUACCGUUGCUUCAGCGUCGUCCUGCUGUUGUCGCGGCCAUUGGAACAUUGCUAAGUGUUUGGCUCCUGCCGCGCACCAAUCAGCAGCUUGUUCUCAGAUUAGCUCAGUUAGUUGCAGAUGAUUCCUUUUUGGGGCUCUAUCAAAGUUUCUGUCGUUGCGCUGUUUCCAAAUUGUCCAGGAGGUCAACAUAAACAAGGAGUCCAUCCCUUUUCUUAGUGAUCUGCUCAUGGCUCGCCGCUUAUGCACCCAGUAGUCCGUUAAGGAGGUUGAUCAUACCGAUUUUUGCUCCCCCUGCAGAUUGCGCAUAGCGAAUGACAAGGAAACUACACUCAAUGCAACAUCAGUCCCAUUCGAGCUUCUCAAUGGACAGGAAAAGCAAAUCUUUCAGCUUAUUUUGCAUGUGGGUGUAUUAUUCACCUCAAGCUGGCAGACAAGAGAAGACUGUCGGCAUGGGUAACAUGCUGCAAGCAGACACCUCAGAGCUCUGCCUCCUUGUCUUCCUCACACUACACAUUACGGGAGACUUUGCAGUCAGGCACUCUUGAGAAACUGAGCAUGGUGCGCAGUGUGAUCGUCCACGAACGUAGCAAUGAAAUAGUAGGAAUGGUCAUAUCCAGGUUGCAUGCGCAAGAUCAGAGGAGCCCCGACAGCCUUGCACGCCUCCUCGAAGUUGCGAGGUAGUAACUGCUCCUCAGCUAAGAACUUGUCAGCAUCCCCCUAAACAAGGUUGUCAAUACGAGCAUAGCAGAUAAGAACUCCCACAGAAAUAACCCUUUUUACUUCUACUCUGAGAUAAACAAAAAACUACACAGUAGCAGCCUCAGGACUCAUCAGACAUUUAAUUUUCUCCAAACAGUGUCCCACUGUGGGUGAUGUAUGAUAGUUAUGAGAUCUAAAAUCUAUCGGAAACAGUUGAUAAGCUUGACCCACUCUACUCUUUAGGAGCCUAGACGACUAGACUUCUAACCAGUUCAAUCAAACAUGACAUUUUAAAUUAAAUCAAUCCAUUCAGGCAGUAGGGAUCUAUGCUACUGUUAGUAACUGUUAAGUGACCCUGAUAGGCUCUGAAUAAUGCUCAUGUGUGGAGUCCUACAAAUGUUACGUGAAUAAGUAGAGGUCUCGUCGUUUGAUGAGCUAAUCCAACCCGCAGUGUAGAAGAUCAUCAAAAUAGCUGUACUCAAUCACAUGCAAAAGCGUAACAAAGAAAACGUGAACAGCCCAAUUGAAAAAAGUGUUCUAAGGUCCCCAUUUGCCAUCAACUUCCCACCUACCUAUUAUCCAGGAUGGCAACUCAAUAAUGUUGACACAAACAUCUGAGUAAAGCUACUUGAGUCAGAUUCAGUGGUACCUCAAAAAAAUCCAGCUAUAAUGCUAAGUAGAUUUUCAGAUGUCUCCUGGAUUUGUUCUGAUACGGGCUGGGUGGUCUGGGUGAGAUUUCAUUUUCAAGAAUGAGAGAUAUCAAAUGUAAGCACUAAAUGACUAGUCAACCCAUUUUUUUUAAAAAAAACAUGUGUGGAGAGGCAAGCAGGUGGUUUGGCCACACGGGCAUGUGCUUAAAAUCAUAUUUCCUCAUUUUCAAACAGCUAAUAGUUCCUUCCAUGUUUUCAAAAUAUAGGACAACAAACGAGCUUGGCUAGCAACAACGUGAUAGCAGAGACAGGACAUGAGUGAAUACAUGGCCAACACUGUACCUGGUCAAUUAGGAUAGGAGUGGAAACAGCAUUGUUGUUCUUUUUAAUCAGGCAGGUUGCGUCAUAUUCCUACGCAAAUCAGGCACUUGUAAGUAUCCAACAUGUCUCAGAGAUGAGUGAUUUCUAAAGAGGAGAAUACCUCCCAAUCUGAUUUAGUUGAGCCCAGGUAAUUUGAGAAUGCUUUCUGACCCCACGGGCAGUUUAUUGGAUUGGCAAUUGGAGCAAAUGCUGAUACUGACUGACAUAUAAGAUAAAACCCAAAAUUCAGGGUGAGAUCCAAUACAAAAUGUCAUGAACGAACUUGAAAAGGUUAUCUAGGCUAAAUAAAAUGGCAUGCUAAGAGUACCUUGUAUUUAUCAGUAUUUUUUAAGUAAAUUGUCAGCGCACCAUGCCCUCCCAUUGAGUGCCCAAAAAUUGAUGCCUGCGAAGUGUUAAGCUGUUCGAAGUUGCCACUUACAACUUCUGGAAGUUCCUUCACAACAUAGUCAUACAUGCGCCAAUUUUUCCACUUUUCAUUUGUGGCGUUCAAAUAAAACCCAGCACCUAGUAACAAAAAGAAAAUGUUAACAUAUCUGAAUGAGUGUGAAGAAAUAAAAUCAUCCAAACCUGCUAGUGUAUACCAAAUUCAAGUAGUGUUUCCGCAAUGUUCCAACAGUAAUGCUUUGACAGAAUGUAAUGGACCUCCCCUUACUACUAAAGCACCACUAUGAACUUUAAAAUCUUUCUUGACAAAUCCCCAAUAGGGGAGCAUGUAAGGUUACUCUGCCCUUUUGGAGAGGUGCCACUUUUUAAGUUGAACAACAUUUGAUAAGCAUUAGGUCUACAUAGUUCAAAAAAUGUGCCCACUAAUGUAACUCUGGUCCUUGCACUUAGGGUAGGAACCAGUUGCAUGCUGAACCUAUCAAAAGGAGUGAUAACACAAUCGAUUCUAAAUGGGCCUCUCAUUACACAUUGGAAUUUAGCAGUCAGCCAGACUAUGCAGGAAAACAAAUAAUCCUUGCCACUAGCGUUGCCACUUCUACCAUACUCCACUCAUCUACCAUGCUUAUGGUUGAAUGACAUGGCAAGGAAGGGGGCCUCUAUUUAUAGGCCAAGGAAGUUCAUAGGAUAAGGACAUGUGCCCCCUUCUAGAGUUUUCACUAGACAAAUAUCUAUGUUCUACACUAUUCUAAUUUCUUCAUGGCAAAACAUCUAGCACCUUCAUGCAAAAUAUCAUGGAUCAUGAGUUGUGGGGAAGGCUCUAUAAGUUUGUAUUGCUUUCCUUCAAUACUCCCCAUCAAUGCAAACUUCUCUCCAUAGUUGUCUUGCACUAGCAGAUGGUGAUUUGUCAAGCAAGAUUUUAAAGUUCAUAGUGGUAUUCGUUCAUUGCACUACCACCUGCUAGUGAGUUUUCACUAUUAUUGGUCUAUUUAUGUAGCCUAACCAGCAAUUGUAUGGUAGAAUUUAGAGCCAUUUAUUCAUGUGAGGUAGCUCAUCCUUUGUUAUCUUCCAAUUAGUUUUAAUACCAGAAUUAUACUUUCUAUGACUUGUCAGGACUUGUAUUGACUUGGAUUCCCAAAAAUUGAUGUGAUAAAUACAAUGCUGCUGGUAUAUUAUAGAGCUCAAGGGACAAGGGUUUACUACCCGAAGUGUUGAUAUCUUACAGGCUUGUGUUAUUAGUAAUCCCACCACUGUAGCUCCUUUUUCUGGGAUUGGUACGAGCAAGACAAUCUUAUUACCAGAAGAGUCAAACACAUCCCUACAACACUUAGGGAUUGUAGUUUUUUCCUUUUCCCCAGCCUAAACAUAGUUGAUAGUUUAGAUUUUAGCAGCAGUUAGGAUUUUGGAGCAGUUACGGAAAGCUUUAUAUACAGGAGUUUGUUGAAAUGAUUUUAGGAGCAGUUAGGAUUUUGGAACAGUUACGGAAAGCUUUAUAUACGGGAGUUUGUUGAAAUGAUUUUAGGAGCAAUUACGGAAAGCUGGUGCGCAGCACAUGCAUGGUCCCCCAGGCAACGCCAACAUGUACGAUCUCAGUUUCUGUUCCGCUCAAGCAAAUGUUGCUGCUUGCGGCAAGUUGGGCAUGGCGUUCACUUCACACAUCUCUCUAUCUCUGAUUUUAGGAGCAGUUAUGAUUUAGGAGCAGUUAUGGAAAGUUGGUACCCGCAGAUGGUACCUGCACGGAAAGCUGGUACCCGCACGGACUUUUUUGUUGCUGCUUACGGCGACACUUCACACAUCUCUCAUGCGCAGCACAUGCAUGGUCCCCCAGGCAAUGCCAACACGUACGAUCUCAGUUUCAUGCGCAGCCCAUGCAGGUUCCCCCAAACAAUGCCAACACGUACGAUCUCGGCUCCUCCAAUCCUCCUCCGAUCCUUGCGUCGCGUGUAUAUAUACAUGAUCAUCGAUACCAAUAUCCGGCUCAACCUAACGCAAUGCAGCUAUCAUCAAGAGACCGCGACUCGAACCCGAGACCUUCCGAUCACAGGCGGUAAGACUCCGCUUGCACCAGGCCCACUGAAGCUUAUAUAUGAUUCAUUAUAUACAUACUUAGUCCUAAUGUCAAUUCUUUUUUUUCAAAAAAAGGAAUAUAAUUGAAUUGACAUAGUCUCUAAUGCCAAUUCUUUUCUUCCUGCCUUUUGCAUGCAGCGACACCAUGUCGAAUGGAGAGCAGAAGAGCGAGAAGCUGUGAGGGUACGGUCACCUGUACAGCCUUAGCCUCGCCCAUUUCAAGUCGGCGGCGAUCAAGUGCGCCGUGGAGUUGGGCAUUCCAACUGCUAUCAAACGCUGCGGCAGGACGGCCACCAUCUCCGACCUCAUCAAGGAGAUCAGCCUCGUCCCGGCAAAGGCGCCAUACCUCAGCCGCCUCCUGCGCUUCCUUGCCUUCUUCGGGCUGUUCGAGGAGGACGAGGAGGAGUUUGCGUCAGCUAAAAGCAAGACGGUGUACAAGCUGACUCCGACGUCGCGGCUCCUCGUCCAGGAGGCCGACAACGAUUCGACAUGCGACAUGUCCCACAUGCUGCUGCUGUUCACGCGUCCCAGCACCACUGUGUCAACCUUCUUCGACGUUGAGCGUUGGAUCAGAGAUCCAACUAGUACCAAGACUGUUUUCGAGGCGGCUCACGGUACGUCCACUUGGGUCUCACCCAGAGCGACGCGUCAUUUAACGAUGCCAUGAACAGAGCUAGCAUGGCGGAUAGCCGAUUCACCAUGGAGGUUGUGAUCAAAGAGGCCGGUGGGUAUUUCAAGGGCCUGAAGACUCUGACGGAUGUCGGCGGCGGCCACGGUGCAGCCACGGCUGCUAUCGUUGCAACCUUUCCAGACAUGCAGUGCACCGUGAUGGACCUCCAGCAAGUGGUCAGCAGCGCACCUGAGUGCGGCGGGACGGUCAAGUUCGUGGUAGGCAAUAUGUUUGAGUCAAUUCCGCCAGCAGAUGUUGUUCUACUCAAGGUAGCCCUUUGUACUUUUCAAUACAGAAUGUAUACUCUCUAUCUUCACAUUGGUAACAUACUGUUAACUGUUCAUCUCAGCUCGUCUUGCACUCCUGGGACGAUGCCUCAUGCAUCAAGAUACUCAAAUGCUGCAAGGAAGCGAUACCACCAACGGGAGGAAAGGUGUUCAACAUCAACACCGUUCUUGGGCAUAGGGGGGAGACAAGCAAGCACGUAACUGAGGUGCAACUCUUACUUGAUCUUUACAUGAUGAGAGGCCACGGUUUCGAGAGGGAUGAGCGUCAGUGGAAGACGAUAUUCUUGGAGGUUGGAUUCGCCAACUACACGGUGAUCCCAUUACAAGAUCCCUUAGCUAUGAUUGUGCUUCAUCCAAGUCCAUUGGUGGUGGAGAUGACGGUGAAGGUGACCGGCACCGGUGGGGCCAAGGAGGACUCGUUCCUGUCCACUGACGAGGCUGAGGCAGCGCCAUGACCCAGGCCGGAGGCGAGUCAAGCCUCAAGCCAGCACCAACCUGAGCUCUGAUGUGUGUGUGGCCUAUCCGGCUGUCCGGUUGCGGCUGGACUAAUAAAUAAACAAACUCAGAUCCUCCAUCGUCUAAGGUUGUGUUGUCUUUGGGCUGUGGCAUUAUUAUUAUUGUUAUGUAUGCACGAUGAUGUACCUUGUACUUUGUUUUCUGUAAUUUGUCUUAAUAUAUAUAACUAGUAGGGGGACAUUUGCCCUCCUAUUUCAUCAAAAAAAAAAUAACUUAUUAGAGUCCCUACUAUUUGAUUUGUCGGUUAACCUUAUCUAUGGUGACCGUGUUGAAAGCUAAGAGGAGUGCCAUGCCAACCCUGUCGUCCUCAUCUGAAAGGCGAUUUGUUGAAAGCCAAGAGGAGUGCCAUGCCAACCCUGUCAUCCUUAUCUGAAAGGCGAUUUGUUGAGCCCCCAUUUUUGUAUGACUCUCUUUUCUGGUAGCGAAACAGAAGACCUGCGGCGACGGUUUGAAUGCGAGAAAGGGAAAGGGAUACAUGUGCUAUACUUCCUCCGUCACAUAAAAGAUCAUUUCCAUUCUUAAUUUUGUUUUUGUGCUUCUUCUUUUGCCGAGGCCCAUCUUGAAAGUAUUCAAGGGUACUCCGGUUGAAUGCUCUUUUUUUUCGAAAAAGAUCUAUACAUAUAGUGUAGUAUAUAUGUACAUGUAUUGGGAAAAAAAUUGAAAAUGAAUGAAGGUAAAUAAGCGGCCACUCUUUACUUCUUUCCUAGUUUCCCUUCCCACCCUAUGGCCCAAUACGGUCCACCAGAGAGCUCUGCGUUCCCUCCAAACGUUCUCGUCACCCACUCACCCGGCCAAACCCAAUGCAGCGUGGGCGGUGGCGGCCGCCGGCCGGCGAGCCGGAGACCGAGGCCGGUGCCUUUAGCCGGCAGCUGCGGCCGGCGCGCACCACCACUGCGCGAGCGUGUUCUGCGCGGCCGAGCUGCCCAAGCACAUAGCCAAGUCAGGAGUACCUAUGUUACCGUGUAAGUGAAAUUGAGAAUUUGGAUGAAAAGUGCGAGUGAAAUUAGGAAGAAAAACAGGGAUAUUGCCAUUGAGGUCUCAUUGCCGUUAACUGUUUCAAUACUUAGGUUUUCGUUGUCUCAACCAUGAAGAGGAAAAAAUAGGGGAAUGUAGUAUCAUAUCCUCUAUAUGACUAUAUAUAUUGGGAUCAUAUGUUGCCACUUAUUUGCUAUGUUGAACUAUUGCUUUUUUUGUGUUAGACAAUUUUAAAUUAUGCUCAAAUUCUAUGAAUAAUAUGAAAUCAUGAUCAAUUAUGCGUUACAUAUUACCCCAAAUUCAGUUAUUAGUUUACUAAUGCAAUCACUCCACAUUAGUCUAUAUACUUUGUGAAACCACCUAAGGAUUAGUAGCAGCACUGCAGCAGUACUGUUUCUUAUCAUUCGUCAGGAAAAAGACAAAUCCACAUUACCCUAUUAAAAGUAGCGUCUCAGAGUUUCAUAUGAUAAUUGUUGAAUUCCUCGUGUGCAUAUAUUAGAUAUUUUUACCAAUUGCGGCAGCCAACUACCCAUAUAGCAAUAUGAUUGAAUAAGAUCAAGUAUUCCAUUAUUCAUUCAUAGCUGAUCAAGCAAUGCAAUGCAUGUAGACCUAUAAUUGCAUACGUUGCUAACUUAGAUGCACAAUAAUUGAGGGGAUAUUUAAGUUUUUUAUGAAUAUGUCAGAAGUGGUAUUUUAGUUCCAUAUAGGCAUGUAAGUUCCCCAAUUGUUCCAUUAUAGGAUUAUAAAUGAAAAACACUAGGCCCCACUCUUUCAUGUUUAGCCCGAUGUUCUUAAGGUGGUAAUGCAAUUUGCAGUGACUCGCCGACUUCUUAUCACCUAGGCGAUAAACGCAAUGUGGUAAGGCAGUCGGGGCGACAGCCAUACUCACACAUAUUAGACAACAAAAAUCAAAAUAGCUUACUAAAGCCCAAUCCAAGCUACAGCCCAUAAAGCAUCCCUUCCCGUGCCCUAGUCUCCCAAUGCCAUCCACAGCAUGUCACCUUUCUCCUUAAGAUUUGGGGACAACUUGCCCCUAGCAAGCGCCUUGUCGCUUAAGUGACCACUAGGCGUGUUCAGUCUAACCAUUGAAAUAAACAGAGCAAACAGUAAAACCAACUUUUAAUGGUACACAAAGGCAUAUCAACAUAACAUGCAUAAUUUUGCAGGACUUAAUGCGCUAGCAUAGCAAAGCUUGACAGACUGCAGUCACAAGGCAACUAACAAGUUUACCUUUAUGAGAGCCAUGUUCUCUGACUCUUGCUUCUUUGCAAGGUUUUUCAGUUUCUUCAUUGUCUCACACUCGUCAUCUCCUUGUUUUACCCAGCGGAACUCUUUCUUGAGGCCAGGGCAGGGAGGUCGAUCCCUGAACAUCUCAGCCUUUGCAUGGGUAGCUUUUACAGGCCUUGGCAUCCCACCAAUUAUGAAUGGGAAAUCAGUCAUCAACUCGACAGCAGCCUUGGCCUGCAUAUCAUCAUCCAGUUCUACCAAUGCAGCAGAAGGUACAUCAUAAGGGAUUGUGUAGUUGACGAUGAACUCCACAUUGACAACAUUUGCACACUGGGCAAGAGCUGCUUUGAUGACUGGGGUGGUAACUUGUGGAGAAAGCUGGUCCAAAUAUAUGGUCCUCCUAACCUUCUCCUUGAAAUCAGCAUAGUCCUUGGAAGCCUGUUCUUGUGAUGCCUCCAUAGAAGGUCAACCUGUGCAGGAAUAAGAAUAAGGUUCAAUGCUUACUUGCCCCAAUUUGUAAUUAUUUUGUGCAAGGAGUACACAAGGAUUUAGGAGAACACAUCACAGGAUUUAGAGUUGAAAAAAAAUAAAAGGUGACAUAUACAAAUACAUAUAAUUGAUCUUGUUUGUGUCCCUUACAUAUCAAAUCUGUUUAUCUCUUGGCCAUUAGGUACAAAGAAGCAUCCCAGUUAUCAUUCUAAGGGCCGCAACAGAACAAGAGCGUCCUUUGAUUUUGCAAACAGAAAGAAAAAGGUGGUAAAAUCAAGAACUAAUUGGAUGUAUUAGAUUAGAUUCUCAGGGCACAUUCACAUGAAUCAAAAGCAGACUCGAAAAACAAUGAAUUCAUCUUAGGAAAGAAGGUCAGUUAGGGUUACUCACCAGGACAGGAAAGGAUCAAAGGAUGAAAGGAAUAAGGAUAACACUUAGGGUAGGAACCAGUUUCGUGCUGAACCUAUCAAAAGGAGUGAUAACACAAUCGAUUCUAAAUGGGCCUCUCAUUACACAUUGGAAUUUAGCAGUCAGCUAGACUAUGCAGGCAAACAAAUAAUCCCUGCCUCUAGCGAGAUUACGAUUCUCAAAGCACCAGACUGAGCCUCCACAUUUUCUAAAAAAAUAAGGAAGGAAAUCGUAACUCGUAAGCAUCCUGUUCUACGACCGCGCCACGCUUCUGGACCGGACACAUAGAUGGGCAGGCAUAAACCCUAGAAACAUAACUCUGUCAGCCAGAGGGAGCAGGGGAUUCAAUUUUGACAUACGUGGGGAGGUGUCAGGCACGACGAGGGCGAUGCCGUGGGCGGCGGCGGCGCGCUGGGCGCCGGACUUCAUGAUGAAAUUCUCGUCGUUGCAGGUGAGGCCCGAGAGCCAGUACAGCACCUGCAAAGCAUCAAUACGACACCGCGUCACAUUCCGCGGCACAGAUUAGCCCAGAGAGAGAGAGCGGGAGGACAGGGGAGCGCGGGCGGCGGCGCACUCACGGGUAUGUUGGACGCCGGGGACGGGGGCAUGUAGAUGGAGAAGGUCAUGGCGCAGCCGAGGGUGGCGCCACGAGACGCGUUCACCAAACCCUCGUGGCGCAGAGUCCGUCCGUGUCGCUGGAACUAACCCGAGCGUUGUCAUAUCCAGGAGCCGAGCGGCGUCGGAGCCGAGCCGCUGGACCAGACGCGCGAUUGCUUCCGUUGGAUUUGAAGCGGCCGACGCGUGGAGGCCGAGCGGACGGGUGUGCACCGGAUGCAUGGGUUCGCUGGAACAGGGCCCCCAAAUUGGAGAGGAGCCCACCAACCAGAAUGAUUUUUAUAGGCAGCGCAGGGCCAGGUGCCAGGUCUCGCAGAACGUCAGCCGCCGCCAGUACGUACUCCAUCGGCCUCCUGAUCCCAUCGACCACGCGCCGCCGAUGGCUUCUUCGCCGACGACGGUGAGGGAGGUGGCGAGCGAGGGAGUGGCUGCGCCCACGGCGCCGGAGGCGGCGAGACAAGGGGAGGUGAAGCGGUCUUCGCCGACCGCAUGGGAGACGGCCAUGCUGCCGCUCAGCAUGGUCGCCGUUCAGGUGAUCGUCGUGGGGAUGUUGCUGCUCUCGAAGCUCACUCUCGGUGCUGGAAUGAGCCCCUUCGUCAUCCUUGUGUACCGCAACAUGAUCGCCGCAGCCGCCGUCGCCCCUCUCGCCGUCUACUUCGAGAGGUACGUGUUCCUUUCUCUUUUCUUUUCUUUUUUUCCUCGCCCACCUUGAAAGUAUUCAAGGGUAUUCAUUCAGUUGAAUACCUUUUUUUGCGAAAAAGAUCUAAUCAUAUAAAUUGCGGUAUACUUCCUCCGUCACAUAAAGAUCAUUUCCAGUCUUAAUUUUGUUUUUGUUUUUGUUUUUGUGCUUCUUCUUUUGCCGAGGCGGCGAGGCCCAUCUUGAAAGUAUUCAAGGGUAUUCGGGUUGAGUGCUCUUUUUUUUUGCGAAAAGUCACAGGCUCGACUCGACGAGAAAAUCCAUCAGGCGGCUUUGCGUCUAGAGGAUCCAGAUGUGGGAGGAGGACGAGAUCAGGGCGGCAAUCAGAUCCUGAUGGCGUCCCCUUCCUGGCCAUACUCGCCACAAAUACUCCCUUGGCUGCACUAUCCCUUAAACCCAUCAAUGCCGAUGUGCAAUCCCACAACAGCCCAAACCAUAUAUAAGUCUCAGCUACUGCCCAAAUUCUUGCCAGCCUCUACCUCAUUAAACCACAGUUGCAAACAUUGGGUAGAUUGAAAGACCUCACAGGAGUCCACUCUGGUUGACACAUGUUGCUAAGUGUGAGAUCUGGCUACGCAUGGGCAUGCAUGGGUGGCACCAAGAUUACUUUUUCCAAAAGGUUACCAAGAGCUUUGUCAGCUCUUGUCGAAAGUAUAUUAGAAGAAGAAGAGAAAGAGGUCAAACGCUCCAGGCUCUCUUCCUGGCAUUCUACAUUGAAUCUAAGUUACCAAAUUUUUCACUUGAAUCUAUACUCUAUAUGUUGUAUGCUGGACAAUAUAAUUACCAUGAACCGUAUUUUCUUUUGGUAGCUAAUUAAAGUUGACACCUCAGUUGUAAAUUAUUAGCACAGGGCCUACAAUAGUUAGGGACUCAUAAUUUAUUUCAUGUUUUUGUUGCAGGGAAAUUUGGAAAGAGAUAAACUGGUCUGUAUGCUGCUGGAUUUUUGCAAAUGCUGCGUUUGGGUGAGCACUCGAACUCAUCAGUAAUGUUUUCUGAACUCAGCUUGUUAGUCCGUACGGUUGUAUGUAUAUUCUCUGUUAUGGUCCAAUACUUUAUACAAUUUCCUUAGGAAACCGAACCAGUUUCAUUAGUAGCUGAUAUAACUAGUACAUUACAAGGACGCAGUGCAUCUCUUUCAAGCGUGUACAUACCUUGUUUCUUGCCUCUAAUAUUGCAGAGACGUCCUGGCAAUGGGCCUGUAUUUCUACGGGCUGCGGACGACCAGCGCUGCUUACUCUUCUAUCUUCCUCAACCUGAUCCCAAUUGCCACCUUCGUCACUGCGAUAGUGCUACGGUAUGUAUGAUCAAUAAUUCUCAACGUGAUUACACAGUGUGAUUGCGUUUAACGUGUCUGUGUGUUGAUCUCCGUUUAGGGCUGAGAAUCUAGCACUGGGACAGUGGCCAGGAAAGAUGAAGCUGCUUGGCGCGCUGCUCUGCGUCGGCGGAACCAUGCUGGUAAGCCUGCUGAAAGGCCCGCCGCUGCAUCUUUGGCCCACCAACCUGCUCGGGUACUCCCAGGCACCUGCAGCCAACGCGACGGGUGCUCACCACAACAUGGUGGUAGGUACCCUCUGGUUGUGUGGCAGCUGCAUGAGCUAUGCACUCUACUUCAUCGUCCAGGUAAUACAAACCGCUACAGUCUUUUUCCUUAUUACCAUUUGGACGGCUAAAAAAAAAACCUAUCAGGAAAGGCUUGUGAAGGUGUUCCCGUCAACCUAUUGGAUGACGUCGCUCACGUCGCUGGUGGGGAGUAUUCAGGCCUUGGUGGUGGGUGUGUUCCUCGUCCGUGACAGAGCGGAAUGGAAGCUCCACUGGAACCUGGAGCUCCUGACUGUCGUGUAUUCGGUACGAGCUGGUCUAUUCGGUAUCUCGUACCUUAAUUAUUACAGAGUUUUAACCCCUUUUUUUUUUGUGAUGAUCAGGGUGUACUCAACACCGGCCUCGCGUUUCUGCUGCUCUCGUGGGUGAUCCGCCGGAGUGGACCCAUCUACCCGACCAUGUUCAACUCAGUUUGCUUGGUUAUGACCACUGUUCUCGACUCGGUCCUCCUUGGCACCCAGAUCUACCUUGGGAGGUGAGCAGCGAGUCUACUAGCUCUCUACACACGACUGUUUGAUCAUGGAUUUUAGCAACACUUAUAUCUGCAUGUGCAGCGUUCUCGGGACAGUCAUAAUCGUGGUGGGAAUGUAUGCGUUCCUUUGGGGCAAGGGUACCGAGCUCAAGCGCGCCGCGAUGGCGAAGGCAUCACCGACCCAGGAGGCGUAGCAGGACCAGCUGAAAGGUGGACUAGGAGUAGGAUAAUACCCGUAGUCUUUGCCGCUUGUCAUGGUUGAUACAGUAACGUAUUGUAUGAGUUGCUGUAAACUGAUUGGAGACCAAGCACCUCGGUGGUUACUCUUCCUUGCCCGUAGGUUGGACUUCUUCUCGAUACUGUACCUCCUUGUGUUAAGUGGAAUCUCAAGAAAUAAUGGGCGCAUAUAUGCCAGAGCCCAGAGGAAUUGGGCACAACAACUCCGAGCAUUGUUAUUGGAAAACAUUCAGUUUGAUGUAGGCAAGGAUGGAAGCAGAGCAUUGUUAUUGGAAAGCUCUUGGUAAGCUGUUUGGUUCCAGGAGAAUUUCUUUGUUCACAGUUCACACUAUAUGUAUACACACACCUGAUUUUUCUAGGAAGGUAAGAACGCUAGAACGGUAUGUAGGGGCAAAACUGGCCAUGUGCAUCCAGGAUUGUCUAGUGAUUGCAAUGUGCUCCGUUCAAGGUGGAUGUAGUGAAGUUCAGCUGUAGCCCUGCUAAUGGGGCUGAGCCCGCCCCUACCCGCAGCAGCCGAGAUAAUGGAUGCUCGGAAGAAUACGUGAGCUCGGUCGGUCGGUCGGAAGCUAGGUAAACCACAUUUGCUUCCGUUGCGACGCUGGCUUGCAGAGUUAAGUCUUCUUCUCCAACCCAGGGAGGAGGUCUCCCUUCCUUUCCUUGUCCCAGAUUCCAUUCCAUUCCUUCCUAUCUUUCCUUCCAUCCUUCCUGUUUCUCCUUCUCUUGCAAACAUGCUGGCCAAGCCACCUCACCUGUGUGCCAACUAAGGUCUUAAAUCUCCGAGUAUAGCUGUCGAGCUAUAGCCGGGUAUAGCUGUUUGAGGCUCAUCAAACUAUUUGUGUUUAUGUACAACUUAGCGGCUAUAACCUCAUUUAACUCCGCUAUAACUGUUUUAGAGGUCAUCCGCUAAAUAGUUUUAGCCGGAGAUUUAAAACCUUGGUGCCAACACAUCGUAGCAUGUACUUUCUUUUCGUACCCGCGUUAGGACUUAGGCACUUCACCUGCUCAGUACCACAACCUGCAUCCCUCAAACAUGAUACGAUGCUCAAACAAUACAAACCGAAAUAACCUUGCAGGCUUGGGCACAAGAAAUAAAAAGUACUAGAGUUUCAUGCAGCAAUAAUGUAUGCACGAGAAGCAUCACACAACAGCAGAUGCUUUCAGUUUCAGCACCAUGUUAUUACAGGCUAAGAAACAAAAGGCUAAGGCUGCAGUUAUCGGAUUUCUAAUGCAGCAACUGCUCGUACGCUAACUAAGCAGGGCCAAUUGUUACGCCCCAGGAUCCAGCUACUGGAUCCCGACUCGUCGAAUUCAUCGCACCAUCUACCAGCGCCCCCCCAGGACAAACUGAUGACUGCACGGCUGCUCCAUGAAUUUGUCCCGUCAGUCAUCCAGGUUCACUCCGUAGCGGUGAGCCAGGUUCUUGAUGGCUCCAUUCUGCAUCACCAGGUCCAGCAUUUCGUACUUCUUGCAGUUCGCAUCAAGAGCUUCCUGCUGCUGCUUUGCUAGUUCCUUCUCCUCGUCCAAUAGAUUCUGAGACGGUUAAAACAGCAGCACCAUGUCAGUAUUUUCAUGUCUAAUUUUCAAAUGAAGAACAAAGUAACAGCAUCCACCAACUAUCAAUAUUGUAGUUAGGUGCAAACACAGUACUUGGACAUGCACCAAUCUGGCAGGUAUGCAUAUUUUUCAUAUAAUUUAAGGAUCUCUGAUUAAAGGAAUUAACAAACACCCAGUGUAUUGGACAAGUGUAUUAAAAGUAAAGCAUAUCCAUUUGCGCACAUAUACUCCAGGCUGACAAACCAUACAUCACUCCAGAAUGGAUAUUAUUUCCAUAUAGGCAUGUAACUUCCCCAAUUGUUCCAUUCUAGGAUUAUAAAUGAAAAACACUAGGUCCCACUCUUUCAUGUUUAGCCCGAUGUUCUUAAGGUGGUAAUGCAAUUUGCAGUGACUCGCCGCCUUCUUAUCACCUAGGCGAUAAACGUAAUGUGGUAAGGCAGUCGGGGCGACAGCCAUACUCACACAUAUUAGACAACAAAAAUCAAAAUAGCUUACUAAAGCCCAAUCCAAGCUACAGCCCAUAAAGCAUCCCUUCCCGUGCCCUAGUCUCCCAAUGCCAUCCACAGCAUGUCACCUUUCUCCUUAAGAUUUGGGGACAACUUGCCCCUAGCAAGCGCCUUGUCGCUUAAGUGACCACUAGGCGUGUUCAGUCUAACCAUUGAAAUAAACAGAGCAAACAGUAAAACCAACUUUUAAUGGUACACAAAGGCAUAUCAACAUAACAUGCAUAAUUUUGCAGGACUUAAUGCGCUAGCAUAGCAAAGCUUGACAGACUGCAGUCACAAGGCAACUAACAAGUUUACCUUUAUGAGAGCCAUGUUCUCUGACUCUUGCUUCUUUGCAAGGUUUUUCAGUUUCUUCAUUGUCUCACACUCGUCAUCUCCUUGUUUUACCCAGCGGAACUCUUUCUUGAGGCCAGGGCAGGGAGGUCGAUCCCUGAACAUCUCAGCCUUUGCAUGGGUAGCUUUUACAGGCCUUGGCAUCCCACCAAUUAUGAAUGGGAAAUCAGUCAUCAACUCGACAGCAG